UAAUCUCUUAAAAAUAAAGAAGCUAAGGUUGUGUUGGGCGGUUUUCGGUCAGACACCUCACGAAAAUCAAUCGAAAACUAAGCAUGAAGAAAGCAUUGUAAUUGCUUGUUUGGACGAGGGUUCGACUCCCUCCGGCUCCACUU
rnacentral:tmRNA from 1 species